rnacentral:rRNA from 1 species
AGAGUUUGAUCCUGGCUCAGGAUAAACGCUGGCGGCGUGCCUAACACAUGCAAGUCGAACGCUCUUCGCAAGAAGAGAGUGGCGGACGGGUGAGUAACACGUGGGUAUCUGCCCUGAGGUGAGGAAUACCGGCGAGAAAUCGCCGACAAGACCGCAUACGCUUGCGCUGCAAGCAAAGUCGCAAGACGCCACAGGAUGAG